rnacentral:rRNA from 1 species
AUUGAGCGCUGGCGGCAGGCUUAACACAUGCAAGUCGAGCGGGGGAAGGUAGCUUGCUACCGGACCUAGCGGCGGACGGGUGAGUAAUGCUUAGGAAUCUGCCUAUUAGUGGGGGACAACAUCUCGAAAGGGAUGCUAAUACCGCAUACGUCCUACGGGAGAAAGCAGGGGAUCUUCGGACCUUGCGCUAAUAGAUGAGCCUAAGUCGGAUUAGCUAGUUGGUGGGGUAAAGGCCUACCAAGGCGACGAUCUGUAGCGGGUCUGAGAGGAUGAUCCGCCACACUGGGACUGAGACACGGCCCAGACUCCUACGGGAGGCAGCAGUGGGGAAUAUUGGACAAUGGGGGGAACCCUGAUCCAGCCAUGCCGCGUGUGUGAAGAAGGCCUUAUGGUUGUAAAGCACUUUAAGCGAGGAGGAGGCUACUUUAGUUAAUACCUAGAGAUAGUGGACGUUACUCGCAGAAUAAGCACCGGCUAACUCUGUG